UACGAAGGGGGGCUAGCGUUGCUCGGAAUACUGGGCGUAAAGCGCACGUAGGCGGCUUCUAAGUCGGAGGUGAAAUCCUGGAGCUCAACUCCAGAACUGCCCUUCGAUACCUGGGAAGCUCCGAGUCCCGGGGAGAUGGUGAGUUGGAACUGCGAGUGUAGAGGGUGAAAUUCGUAGAAUAUUCGCAAGAAACACCCAGUG
rnacentral:rRNA from 1 species